rnacentral:lncRNA from 1 species
UCACGAGUCAUGCUAUUCGCAAAUACAUAUUAGACCACAAAAGUGGGUCAGCAAAACAAGUGAUAGUUUGAGUAAAGACAAAUCCUCAAAGCCAUAAAAAGUUACAAUGACAAGAUUUGUGAACAACAGUUGCGUAUAUGUGUUUUCUUAAGCAUUGCGUUUCUUUCAACUAAAUGGUUUCGGGCUGUUGCUAUCAACAUUCUGGCAAGUGGCAAUAAGCUCAAUCAUGCAAGUCAUUGUUCAAGAUAUAAAAUUGCCUAACCUUGUCAAGAUUCUGAGCAGUGAGAAGCAACCAACUGAAUCCUAAAUGGACAGUCUUUGUUUUCAUCACCAGCUGAAAAAUGCAAGCAUGUGUUAGAAAAUCAAAUGAAAGCAUGAUGUAAGAUUAGCGCCAAAGUAUAUUUGUUCUAACAACUAAAACAGAACCAAGUACACCUCCUGUCAA